rnacentral:lncRNA from 1 species
AUGCCAUAUUUAUUUGUAUUCUUUCUUCCCCUUUGUGUCUCUCCAAUAGGGAGGAAAUUGGAAUUGUUUUCAUCCAUGAAUUUUUUUAAGAACUAUUCUAAACAUUUUAAAAAGGAACUGAUAAUGUACAAGUCACUUUGUUUUAGCUUUUUUGCACUGCAAUAGCACAACUGUACCGGACAGAGACCAUUUGGCUCACAGGCCCAAAGCUUAAAUCUGGCACUUUAAGAAAACGUUUGCUAGCACCUGCUCUAUAUUUUUAUGUAAGUAUAUCAUAAUUUUAUAAUUAUUUUAUUGUCACCAUUAUAAACACUACAGGGAAGCUCUCACUUCAUAAAUUUUGUUCUUUAUUUGUUAUUACCUGUAGGAAGUCUAAGUGCAAUAUUAGAUUGAAGAAUAUUUAGUUUUUAAGUAGCCAAAUACCAAUACUUAACUUUAAUUAUCUUCCCAUGAUGCUUGUGGAAAUCUUCUUGUUCCAGUAUGAACUCCUAGAGUUAAGAGUUUACUUAUCUAGAUUUUAUUUUGACUCUUCAAACAAAUUUAGCUUUUUUAACCUAAUGUGACUUUAAUUUAUGCUAUUCACCAAAUAUUUCCAGUGUGUGGUAAUAUGACUGUUACCUAGCCAGUGAGUUGUGAGUGAAAAGUUAUUUCAAUUUGGAUCAUUUAAGUGUUGAUACGAGACUCUUUAGAACUUUCUUUUCUCUCUGACAUGGUGAUGAUGAUUGCUGCAUCAGGCUGGGUUCCUGAGGGACUAUAAAUCUAGCCUCCCUGUUUAGAUGGACAUAUAGCGUGAGGGAGAAAUAACCAUUUUUGUUUUAAGUUAAUACAGUUAGGGAAUACCUCAUUUGAUACAGGAUUAGUCCUGAAAGUGGAGUGCUGCCAUAAAAAGAAGCAAAAUUGAACUAAAUUAAACUAUAUUGCAUUGGCUUAGGUGACAGGUGGUACAUGAGAUGAUCCACAUUUGCUGUGGUGAAACGUUUGGUAAACUUGCCUGCAAUACUUGGAAGAAAAAUAAUAUAGUGAAGUUUUAUCUCUAUUGGAAGAGUUUGGAUAACAAUUUUGUUUAUUAGUUGCAUUUGACAGUUGCAUUUUAAGAAAGACAUGAA